GACGAACGCUGGCGGCGUGCUUAACACAUGCAAGUCGAGCGGUAAGGCCCUUUCGGGGGUACACGAGCGGCGAACGGGUGAGUAACACGUGGGUGACCUGCCCUUAGCUCUGGGAUAAGCCUGGGAAACUGGGUCUAAUACCGGAUAUGACUCCAUGACGCAUGUUGGUGGGGUGGAAAGCCUUGUGCGGCUAGGGAUGGGCCCGCGGCCUAUCAGCUUGUUGGUGGGGUGAUGGCCACCAAGGCGACGACGGGUAGCCGGCCUGAGAGGGCGACCGGCCACACUGGGACUGAGACACGGCCCAGACUCCUACGGGAGGCAGCAGGUGGGGAAUCUUGCGCAAUGGGCGAAAGCCUGACGCAGCGACGCCGCGUGGGGAUGACGGCCU
rnacentral:rRNA from 1 species